rnacentral:rRNA from 1 species
UACGUAGGGGGCAAGCGUUGUCCGGAAUCAUUGGGCGUAAAGCGCGUGUAGGCGGCUCGGUAAGUCUGCUCUGAAAGUCCAAGGCUCAACCUUGGGAUGCGGGUGGAUACUGCCGGGCUCGAGUCCGGAAGAGGCGAGUGGAAUUCCUGGUGUAGCGGUGGAAUGCGCAGAUAUCAGGAGGAACACCGAUGGCGAAGGCAGGUCUCUGGGCCGCAACUGACGCUGAGGAGCGAAAGCAUGGGGAGCGAACAGG